UCUUAGGUAGUAUGGUGGUUAGUAUUCGCGCCUGUCAAGCGCACCCGAGACCGGGGUUCAAUUCCCCGCCUGAGAG
rnacentral:tRNA from 1 species